CGGCGGACGGGUGAGUAACACGUGGGUAACCUGCCUGUAAGACUGGGAUAACUCCGGGAAACCGGGGCUAAUACCGGAUGCUUGAUUGAACCGCAUGGUUCAAUCAUAAAAGGUGGCUUUUAGCUACCACUUACAGAUGGACCCGCGGCGCAUUAGCUAGUUGGUGAGGUAACGGCUCACCAAGGCGACGAUGCGUAGCCGACCUGAGAGGGUGAUCGGCCACACUGGGACUGAGACACGGCCCAGACUCCUACGGGAGGCAGCAGUAGGGAAUCUUCCGCAAUGGACGAAAGUCUGACGGAGCAACGCCGCGUGAGUGAUGAAGGUUUUCGGAUCGUAAAACUCUGUUGUUAGGGAAGAACAAGUACCGUUCGAAUAGGGCGGUACCUUGACGGUACCUAACCAGAAAGCCACGGCUAACUACGUGCCAGCAGCCGCGGUAAUACGUAGGUGGCAAGCGUUGUCCGGAAUUAUUGGGCGUAAAGCGCGCGCAGGCGGUUUCUUAAGUCUGAUGUGAAAGCCCCCGGCUCAACCGGGGAGGGUCAUUGGAAACUGGGGAACUUGAGUGCAGAAG
rnacentral:rRNA from 1 species